rnacentral:lncRNA from 1 species
AACACAAUUUUGAGAAGUUUCGCCACGUCAGACGCCGGGUCAGCAGCCCUGACCAACCAGGACGCGCCAAGUGGCAGAGACACUGACGUGGAAGGCCAUGCGGGGCGGGCCACAUAGGCGAUCUGCAUGCCCACGAUCGAACGGCUAAGGUUCGUUCCUGCGCGCACGGACGGCCUGGAUGCGCUCCCUCCCAAAUGCGAUCGAACGGCCAAAUUCAAAUACGAUCGGAUGACCUAGAGUAAAUCAUGAUGGACGGCCCAGAUUGGAUCGCGAUGAACGGUUUAGAUUCACUUCCCAUUUAAUUGAGAUUGGACGAUCUAGAUCCAACGCGAUGGACGGUUCAGAUCAAAAGUGAAUGGGUAUAAAUAACCCCCAUCCGCACCAAACCCUAACCCUAGUCACCAGAACCCCUCGCCGGAGAAGACGACCCAAUCGUCGGGGAGCCGACAGCUGCCACCCGCUGCCGCACCGGAACCCUUCCAAUCGCCAAAAGAAGGUAAAAAAUUCCCUU